UGCAAGUCGCACGGGAGGAUUCGGGUAGCAAUAUUCGGAUCCUUUAGUGGCGCACGGGUGAGUAACACGUGAAUGACAUGCCCUUCAGUGGGGGAUAGCCCAGGGAAACUUGGAUUAAUACCCCAUGGUCUCGCGAGAGUAAAGGUGGCCGCAAGGCUGUCGCUGGAGGAUUGGUUCGCGUUCUAUCAGCUUGUUGGCGGGGUAACGGCCCACCAAGGCGACGACGGAUACCUGGUUUGAGAGGACGAUCAGGCACACUGGAACUGAGACACGGUCCAGACACCUACGGGUGGCAGCAGUCGAGAAUAAUUCACAAUGGGGGCAACCCUGAUGGUGCAACGCCGCGUGGAGGAUGAAGGUCUUCGGAUUGUAAACUCCUGUCAUUUGAGAGCAAGACCUGGCGGUGAAGAGCCGACAGGGUUGAUAGUAUCAAAAGAGGAAGGGACGGCUAACUUCGUGCCAGCAGCCGCGGUAAUACGAAGGUCCCGAGCGUUGUUCGGAAUCACUGGGCGUAAAGGGAGCGUAGGCGGCGUGGUAAGUCAGAUGUGAAAUCCCGGGGCUCAACCCCGGAACUGCAUCCGAUACUGCCGUGCUGGAGCAAUGGAGGGGUAGCCGGAAUUCUCGGUGUAGCAGUGAAAUGCGUGGAUAUCGAGAGGAACACUUGUGGCGAAGGCGGGCUACUGGACAUUUGCUGACGCUGAGGCUCGAAGGCCGGGGGAGCGAAAGGGAUUAGAUACCCCUGUAGUCCCGGCAGUAAACGGUGUGCGCUUGGUGUGAGGGGAAUCGACCCCCCUUGU
rnacentral:rRNA from 1 species